rnacentral:rRNA from 1 species
AGUGAACGCUGGCGGUAGGCCUAACACAUGCAAGUCGAACGGCAGCACAGUAAGAGCUUGCUCUUACGGGUGGCGAGUGGCGGACGGGUGAGGAAUACAUCGGAAUCUACUUUUUCGUGGGGGCUAACGUAGGGAAACUUACGCUAAUACCGCAUACGACCUACGGGUGAAAGCAGCGGAUCUUCGGACCUUGCGCGAUUGAAUGAGCCGAUGUCGGAUUAGCUAGUUGGCGGGGUAAAGGCCCACCAAGGCGACGAUCCGUAGCUGGUCUGAGAGGAUGAUCAGCCACACUGGAACUGAGACACGGUCCAGACUCCUACGGGAGGCAGCAGUGGGGAAUAUUGGACAAUGGGCGCAAGCCUGAUCCAGCCAUACCGCGUGGGUGAAGAAGGCCUUCGGGUUGUAAAGCCCUUUUGUUGGGAAAGAAAAGCAGCAGGUUAAUACCCCGCUGUUCUGACGGUACCCAAAGAAUAAGCACCGGCUAACUUCGUG